rnacentral:rRNA from 1 species
GACGAACGCUGGCGGCGUGCUUAACACAUGCAAGUCGAGCGGUAAGGCCCUUUCGGGGGUACGACGAGCGGCGAACGGGUGAGUAACACGUGGGUGACCUGCCCUCAGCUCUGGGAUAAGCCUGGGAAACUGGGUCUAAUACCGGAUAUGACUCCAUGACGCAUGUUGUGGGGUGGAAAGCCUUGUGCGGCUGAGGAUGGGCCCGCGGCCUAUCAGCUUGUUGGUGGGGUGAUGGCC